rnacentral:rRNA from 1 species
GGACGAACGCUGGCGGCGUGCUUAACACAUGCACGUCGAACGGAAAGGCCCUGCUUUUGUGGGGUGCUCGAGUGGCGAACGGGUGAGUAACACGUGGGUAACCUGCCCUUGACUUUGGGAUAACUUCAGGAAACUGGGGCUAAUACCGGAUAGGAGCUCCUGCUGCAUGGUGGGGGUUGGAAAGUUUCGGCGGUUGGGGAUGGACUCGCGGCUUAUCAGCUUGUUGGUGGGGUAGUGGCUUACCAGGCUUUGACGGGUAGCCGGCCUGAGAGGGUGACCGGCCACAUUGGGACUGAGAUACGGCCCAGACUCCUACGGGAGGCAGCAGUGGGGAAUAUUGCACAAUGGGCGGAAGCCUGAUGCAGCAACGCCGCGUGCGGGAUGACGGCCUUCGGGUUGUAAACCGCUUUCGCCUGUGACGAAGCGUGAGUGACGGUAAUGGGUAAAGAAGCACCGGCUAACUACGUG